rnacentral:tRNA from 3 species
AAGACACUAGUAUAGCGGAAAAUACACUGCUUUGUCAGGGCAGAGUCGUGGGUUAAACCCCCGCGUGUCUUA